rfam:Salmo salar isolate Sally breed double haploid chromosome ssa11, whole genome shotgun sequence.
UGCACGCAUAACUGUAAGUCGCUUUGGAUAAAAGUGUCUGCUAAAAUGGCAUAUA